UGCGCUUCGAUGUCUCGCGUUAUUUAAUUUGGGGUGUAAGCCUGAAAGCUAGGUUUCAGUCGUGAGCCAUGUGGAACACGUCUGCAUCGAAAUGGGAGCCGGGUCCUGCUGCAACUGGGGACAGCAAUACCGACAUGCAGUAAUGAGGAUGGCACCAGUAUAAAGCAACACACUCCAUGCACUAAACAGAAGCUGCUGCCUGCUACAACAAGGUCAUUGUGUGGACUUUGGCUGCUACUACAAGAGUCUGUGCCAAGUACAUCUUGGUCAUCAUGGGAGCCCCCAUCUACACCAACAGGAAGGGGCUGGAGCUGAAUUCGCAAGACCACAAACAAAGAAGCCAUUCCAGAAUUAUUUGGAUGAGAUAUCAAGUCUACGGACGACUGUUUCAAGAGUGAAAAGAGCCUACGCCAUCAUUCCACCAGCACGGAUAUUGGCCGAGUCAUCCAGGUACCUCAACAACAAAAAUUAUUUGUCUUCAGAUGUACCUGCAACCUCUGAACAAGCACAGAUGACGCUGGCUAAGAGUGUUCUGUCAGCUUGCCCUUCCUUAGUGAGCUUCCUGGCCUUGCCAGUUCUUGCCAAGUAUAAUUUUGUUUCAAUGAAUGCAAGCUUUUUCAUUCCACACUUUUGUUAGAGAUCAUUCCUAUUCCUCAUACAAACAAUAAAGGUCAACCGAUUCUUUGCUCAUACUUAAUGCCAGUCACUGUCUAGUAGAAUAACAUAUGUGUAGCAGUUCUUUCUAGUGUAUGUUGCCAUGUGCAAUUCCUCUCCUGAAAUAGCUGAUGCAGCAUUGGCGUGUGUCUUGCAUUAACCUUUACACUGUGUGCUAUGUAGCAUUUAACUUUUGUUAAUGUUUUUGGCUUUCAAUGCUUGCAAGGUAGAGUGGCUUCUUUCUUGAAUGCAAGCUUUCUCAUUCCCAUAUUGAAUUCCUAGUCUCAUUCAGGAUUGCUAUUCUUGCUCGACAGCCUGUGUUUUUGUGCAAGCUACAUUGAAGUGGUUGAUUGCAGAAUCUGGUUUCGGCGCUGUCCGACUUGGUACUUGUCACCGUUUUACGUUUCUCAUAUGUGGGAGCCUGGUCAGUUGCAUUGGGAAACAGUCUCUCGAGGCAAGCACCUGCUCCUACAGUCCGCACAGUGGCAUAGACUGCGAAUUUACACGCACACCGUGGUUGGUGCUCCCCGUUCCGUCCUUUCCUGCUGCUGCCGUGUGCAAAUUUUGCUUGUGGUCUUCCUCGGCCAUGAUUUGGCGUCAACGGAGACUCUCAUACAUAAUUACAUGGUUCUAAGUGUAUGAAGUUGAUAUCCACAUGUGUGGAAAGGCCUGCAAAAGUGACUGCAAAAUAGUGAUGUUCACAAAACCAACCAUGACCAUAUAUAGAGAAUGUGGGGUACCAAGUGUGAGUUACACAUUAGUGGCAUGCAAAAGAACAAAAAGAAACAUGCAGGUUGGAAAGGCGGUAACGCUAAA